rnacentral:tRNA from 1 species
GAGGGUACGGCUCAGUGGUAGAGCGCACGCUUAACAUGCAUGAAGUCCUGGGUUCAAAUCCCAGUACCUCCA